rnacentral:rRNA from 1 species
CUNUCUGACUUGAGUGCAGAAGGGGAGAGUGGANUUCCAUGUGUAGCGGUGAAAUGCGUAGAUAUAUGGAGGAACACCAGUGGCGAAAGCGGCUCUNUGGUCUGUCACUGACGCUGAGGCUNGAAAGCGUGGGUAGCGAACAGGAUUAGAUACCCUGGUAGUNCACGCCGUAAACGAUGAGUGCUAGGUGUUAGGCCCUUUCCGGGGCUUAGUGCCGGAGCUAACGCAAUAAGCACUCCGCCUGGGGAGUACGACCGCAAGGUUGAAACUCAAAGGAAUUGACGGGGGCCCGCACAAGCGGUGGAGCAUGUGGUUUAAUUCGAAGCAACGCGAAGAACCUUACCAGGUCUUGACAUCCCGAUGCUAUUCUUAGAGAUAGGAAGUUACUUCGGUACAUCGGAGACAGGUGGUGCAUGGUUGUCGUCAGCUCGUGUCGUGAGAUGUUGGGUUAAGUCCCGCAACGAGCGCAACCCUUAUUGUUAGUUGCCAUCAUUAAGUUGGGCACUCUAGCGAGACUGCCGGUAAUAAACCGGAGGAAGGUGGGGAUGACGUCAAAUCAUCAUGCCCCUUAUGACCUGGGCUACACACGUGCUACAAUGGUCGGUACAACGAGUUGCGAGCCGGUGACGGCAAGCUAAUCUCUGAAAGCCGAUCUCAGUUCGGAUUGGAGGCUGCAACUCGCCUCCAUGAAGUCGGAAUCGCUAGUAAUCGCGGAUCAGCACGCCGCGGUGAAUACGUUCCCGGGCCUUGUACACACCGCCCGUCACACCACGAGAGUUUGUAACACCCGAAGUCG